AGAGUUUGAUCCUGGCUCAGAUUGAACGCUGGCGGCAUGCCUAACACAUGCAAGUCGAACGGUAACGCGGAGAGCUUGCUCUCUGGCGGCGAGUGGCGGACGGGUGAGUAACGCGUAGAAAUCUGCCUAGUAGUGGGGGACAACCUGGAGAAAUCCAGGCUAAUACCGCAUACGCCCUACGGGGGAAAGCGGGGGAUCUUCGGACCUCGCGCUAUUAGAUGAGUCUGCGUCGGAUUAGCUAGUUGGUGAGGUAAAGGCUCACCAAGGCGACGAUCCGUAGCUGGUCUGAGAGGAUGAUCAGCCACACCGGGACUGAGACACGGCCCGGACUCCUACGGGAGGCAGCAGUGGGGAAUAUUGGACAAUGGGGGAAACCCUGAUCCAGCAAUGCCGCGUGUGUGAAGAAGGCCUCGGGUUGUAAAGCACUUUCAAUUGGGAAGAAAAGCAGUCGGUUAAUAACCGGCUGUCUUGACGUUACCUUUACAAGAAGCACCGGCUAACUCCGUGCCAGCAGCCGCGGUAAUACGGAGGGUGCAAGCGUUAAUCGGAAUUACUGGGCGUAAAGCGCGCGUAGGCGCUUUGUAAGUCAAAUGUGAAAGCCCCGGGCUUAACCUGGGAAUUGCAUUCGAUACUGCACGGCUAGAGUAUGGGAGAGGGAAGUGGAAUUUCCGGUGUAGCGGUGAAAUGCGUAGAUAUCGGAAGGAACACCAGUGGCGAAGGCGACUUCCUGGCCCAAUACUGACGCUCAGGUGCGAAAGCGUGGGGAGCAAACGGGAUUAGAUACCCUGGUAGUCCACGCCGUAAACGAUGAGAACUAGAUGUCGGGAGGGUUCAGCUUCUCGGUGUCGCAGCUAACGCAUUAAGUUCUCCGCCUGGGGAGUACGCCGGCAACGGUAAAACUCAAAGGAAUUGACGGGGACCCGCACAAGCGGUGGAGCAUGUGGUUUAAUUCGAUGCAACGCGAAGAACCUUACCUGCCCUUGACAUACUCGGAACUUUCCAGAGAUGGAUUGGUGCCUUCGGGAACCGAGAUACAGGUGCUGCAUGGCUGUCGUCAGCUCGUGUCGUGAGAUGUUGGGUUAAGUCCCGCAACGAGCGCAACCCUUGUCCCUAGUUGCCAGCGGUUCGGCCGGGAACUCUAGGGAGACCGCCAGCGACAAGCUGGAGGAAGGUGGGGACGACGUCAAGUCAUCAUGGCCCUUAUGGGCAGGGCUACACACGUGCUACAAUGGCCGGUACAGACGGUUGCUAACCCGCAAGGGGGAGCCAAUCCGAGAAAGCCGGUCGUAGUCCGGAUCGGGGUCUGCAACUCGACCCCGUGAAGUCGGAAUCGCUAGUAAUCGCGAAUCAGCAACGUCGCGGUGAAUACGUUCCCGGGUCUUGUACACACCGCCCGUCACACCAUGGAAGUUGGUUGCACCAGAAGUAGGUAGCCUAACCUUAGGGAGGGCGCUUACCACGGUGUGGCUAAUGACUGGGGUGAAGUCGUAACAAGGUA
rnacentral:rRNA from 1 species